rnacentral:lncRNA from 10 species
GCUUGGUCCUAAUAAACAGCAAAGCUCUCAUUAGAGAGAAACUCUCCAGGCCUGGUCCCUCAUUAAAUUGAUUGGAUCCAUUUUACAGAUUUGUUCACUGAGGCAGCCAUGCCCUGAUUGCAUUUUAGGAGGACCACGGAAGUCAAGAAGUUCAGCUUCUGAACUAACCAGACUAUCACUGAUUCGUUCUGCACCCUGAACUUUUACCCCUCCUGUUUUGCUAAUGGAAAUAGGCUAAUUCAAAGUCACAAGAGCAACACUUUGAAGUGGAGCCUUGCUUGAGAUGAGGAUUAUAGACUUUAGUUUCGAAUGAACCCCAAUGGAGCCUUUCUUCCUGGGAAGACGUAGAGCAGCCCUUCUGUAACUCUCCAUUCAAACCUCUGCAAAUGCUAUCAGCCAUUGCUAAAGCAGAUCUCAGCAAGUUUAUUUGGGGACUUAUGCCUCAUAUGUGCUCUCCUUCCCUUCCUCCCUACUUCCACUUAUGGUCUCUAUUCCACUUUAGCCACCUCUAUUUCCUUCUUGCCCAGAUUUAACAAGGUCCCUCUCAACCCCUCUCUCAGAGAACAGAAGUUAGUAGAGGGAAUGCCGCAGGGUCCCACUGCCUGCAGAACCUCUUCAGCUGAAUCCCAAAGGAAGCUCAGCAGCUGAUGGGGAAGUGAUUUAUAAUCCUAAACACAGUUCUUUCACUGUUGGUUCUGGCUUCUUGCAUCACAAAUUGCUCUGCAUAUUAGCAUUACAUUGAUGACAUUCAAAACAGGUGCAACUGCCUAUAGAACAGCUGCCGCGGCCCACUGAAAGCUUCAAGCCGAGACCUGAGGUGCAUGAACCCUCCUUCUGAUAAGCUUCAGAGCAGAAAUGAUGCAACUGAGUCACAGAGAAGUUAAGUAAUCUGCCUGCCGACACUCGGGUCGAUGCCGCCUCAUUCCAUCACUCGGGCAAUGGAGCCAAAGGCCACGUUCACAACCACUAGGCUGUCCCAGCCCCUUGGUAUGAUUUGUCCCUUCCUAAGGUGUGCUUCUCUCAUCUCUGGUCCUAUUUCUAGUUGUUUCCUGACCCUUCACCAUUUCCCCCUUGGCCCACGACCUUCAUCAUCCCAGCAGGUGGCAGGGCCUUCCCCUUUGACCUCCUCCUACCUUCACAGGAAUCAUCGUUUCAACAUUUGCCUUUCCUAGUCUCUGGAUAUCAAAACUCAUCAAUUCCAUAGCUCUCCCCAGCAUGCCCUGCUACAAGCUUAGACAGCAUGGCUGUCAAGCCAGAAUCCCAGCAGCCUCCCCCAUUGGAAGUCCCUGGGGUGGGGUGGGGUGGAGUGGGAGCUGAGUGGGCAGAGUUUCAUCCACAGCACCAUGUGCCCACUGUCUUCUGCCAUGUGGUUCAUGGAAAAGAAUGUUUAUUUCACUCCUAAAAGCCAGUGUGAAAACACUGGUCGCAGAAUACCAUGAGUUAACCUAACCUACUGCUGUUAAUGAUGAAACCCUUCCCAAAUAAUGCUUGGCUUUAGCAGAGACCUUUUGUUUAAUGAGUUAGGUCAAAGGGGUGUUUCGUUUAUAAAUUUCAGAUACUGCAGUAAACCCCAUAGGGUGUGAUAUUCAUGGUUGUGGGGAGUCUGGAGGAUCCUGAAAAUCAUGCCACCCUCAGUGAAGCUAGUGCAGUGGCCCUUUCAUUUUAACUCUGGAUGGGCAGAAGGAACAUGUGUGUGCGUGUGUGUGCGUGUGUGCACAGGAGGUGGGCAGAUGGGGCUGAAUAGCUGAAUACCUGCUCACAGCAUGCUGUAGCUUCAGGCUCUGUUCUAGGUCCUCAAGCUUCCUGGGGGGCUCUGGGUACACAUUUGUUUAUCCAUCUUUCUCCUCCACCCCAAGCAACUUCCCGUAGGCCACCUGAACUCCGCCUCUCCAACUUGUCAAAGAAGAAAGCUGCAACCAUGUAAUUAUGACAUCCUGGGGGUAAUUUUAACUAUAAGUCAUUAUUCUCAAACAGCCGAUGCAAUCCCUAUUUGCCAGCACAAAGAGAUGAUUCUCACUAGCCUGAACUCACUGUCAAACAUGCCAGGAGAAAUAAAAAGGUGCUAAUGCAAUAUAGCCCAGAAAUAGAAAAUAAGAUUAGAGGCAACGCUUGAGAUUUCAGGCUGUUGGGCGGGGGAAAUAGCACAGGGUUUAGUUACCAGCAGAACUGUCAGACAAAAAGCCUCUGAGUUCAUUAAUACCAGAACCUUCAUUAAGGCAAGUGGAUAAAAUUAAAGGGUGUUUUGUGAGGAUUUAAUUUUUCCUGGAGGUUUGCGGUCUCUGAAGGGCGUCUGGUGCUGGCUCUGAGGCCAAGGCGGCGGGCCCUGGAGUGGGGAAUCAGGAUGCUGGAGUUCUCAUUUUUUGUCGUCUUCUCAGUGGGCCCUGCUGAGAACAGGCUGCAUGAGGGGGCGCCUGUGCAGUGCUGAGCCGCUGCAUCAGGGAACUGCAUCUCCUUGUCCCCAAGCCACGUCCUGUGAAACAGCACGGAGUCUCCUGCACAGCUGGAACAAGCAUAGCUCAGCCUUAGCAUGGGUGGGGCAGGGUAGAAGAAAAGCUGUGUCGGGACAGGGCAUCUUUGUGAGUUCUGAAGACCAUCCAGAGACUCAGGGUGGUAUUGGUGGAAGCGUAAAAACAGGUCUGACUUUACGCAAAGCUGAGAAGCAGGCAAUGGUAGUCUUUGGUGACUUCUCGUGGGUACUUUUAGGGGUCCUCUCUUACCCCUUGUGCCCUUCCCUCACUCUGUUCUCGGAGUGCCUUUGUGUCAGCUAGUUGUCACAAGAAAUAUAAUAAAUAAAUGCCCUCGAUCUUGUUAAAUGAUUAAGGUUCAGAGGUAUUAAACAGUCCUCCCAGGAAUGUUUAUAGUUGUAGAAAUACAUUUCUGAGGCUGAAAAGGACUUAAUGGACUAUGCUUUAAUAUGGAAUGCAGGCAUUGUGCUUGGUCAGUGAGGGGGCUACUUGGGAACUGGUCUUUCCUCUGUACUCUUUUCUUUCUUUAAAAACUACACUUAAGUUCUGGGAUACAUAUGCAGAACGUGCAGGUUUGUUAUACACGUACACACGUGCCAUGGUGGUUUGUUGCACCCAUCAACCCGUCAUCUACAUUAGGUAAUUCUCCUAACGCUAUCCCUCCCCUAGUCACCCAUCGGCUGACAGGCUCUGGUGUGUGAUGCCCCUCUCCUUGUGUCCAUGUGUUCUCAUUGUUCAACUCCUAUUUAUGAGUGAGAAUAUGUGGUGUUUGGUUUUCUGUUCCUGUGUUAGUUUGCUGAGAAUGAUUGUUUCUAUCUUCACCCAUGUACCUGCAAAAGACAUGAACUCAUCAUUUUGUAUGGCUGCAUAGUAUUUCAUGGUGUAUAUGUACUACAUUUUCUUUAUCCAGUCUAUCAUUGAUGGGCAUUUGGGUUGGUUCCAAGUCUUUGCUCUUGUGAAUAGUGCCGCAAUAAACAUACGUGUGCAUGUAUCUUUAUAGUAGAAUGAUUUAUAAUCCUUUGGGUAUAUACCCAGUAAUGGGAUUGCUGGGUCAAUUGGUAUUUCUGGUUCUAGAUCCUUGAGGAAUCACCACACUGUCUUCCACAAUGGUUGUACUAAUUUACUCUCCCACCAACAGUGUAAAAGCAUUCCUAUUUCUCCACAUCCUCUCCAGCAUCUGUUGUUUCUUGACUUUUUAAUGAUCUCCAUUCUAACUGGCAUGAGAUGAUAUCUUUUUGUGGUUUUGAGCGGAUCUCCUAGCACAGCACUCGAGCUCUGCUAAGGGACAGACUGACCCCUCAACUAGGCCCCUGAUCCCCGUGCCUCCUGACUGGGGGACACCUCCCAGCAGCGGUUGACAGACACCUCAUACAGGAGAGCUCUGGCUGGCAUCUAGUGGUGCCCCUCUGGGAUGAAGCUUCCAGAGGAAGAAUCAGGCAGCAA